UUCUCACCUGGGUGCCUGCCUCUCCCAACACCUCCUCCAGGUGGCCUCCCAGCUCGCUGAGGGGUGUGUGCCAGCACUGGCGGGAUUCUCUCCUCGCUCCACUCCCCUUCACCUGUCGUCAUUCCUUCCAGAUCCUAAGGGAAUGUGGCUUUGCUGCUAUUGGGUGGGUGGGAAACCUGAGGGACCCAGCAUCUCUGAGCGAGGCUGCUCUCCCGGAGCCCCAGGGAGCUUCAAGGAACCCUAGGCUGAGCAGAGGAAGGACCACCACAGCCACACUGGACAGGCUGGCCAGACUUGUGCCGCUGGGGCCCUCAGGGUGCUCCUGGCUGCAAAACAGGAGUCCCAGACACCAGGGGAGGAAGGGACUCUGGCUGGGAGGAGGAGGAGUUCUCUCCAGCCAUCUCACCAAGGAGACUUGGACCCUGCCUGUGGACCCUUCCAUUUCCUACUGGGACAGGUGGGACAGAGUCUGGGACAGAAUAUCUUGUUGGACUUACUCACCCUUCUUCGUGUGAUGAUGUGAGAUGGAAAAAUGCCUACAUGAUGAGAAGUGAGGUGACUGUCAUAGGCGUGUGACGUAGGGUUAGGCGACUGUUGGCCUUCUGACCCGAAGCCAGAAAGAGGAUCAUCUGCUUCUGGAUCAUGGUUGAUGUUGGGUGAUUGAAGGCACGGAGAGCGGAGCCGUGGGUAAGGGAGGACUGACUAAUGUGCUACAACAUCCGCACUUCACAGACGAGGAAGCGGAGGCCCAGACUGGGUAACAAGCAAGGGUCUUCCAGCAGCUAGGGGCCCGGGUGGUCUCCCCCAAGACUCGCUCUUACUCCCUGCACCUGCACUGCUCGCACAGUAGCCACUAAACUCAUGGGACUACAGCUCUUCCUGUAUUUACGAUGGGAUUACUUCCUGAUAAACCCAUAGUAAGUCAAAAAUAUUGUAAAUCAAAAAUGAUGAAUACACCUAAUCUACUGAACAUCAUAGCUUAGCCUAGCCUAACCUAAAUGUGCUCAGAACACUAACAUUAGCCUAAAGUUGGACAAAAGCAUCUCACACAAACCUAUUUGAAAAUAAAGUGUUGAAUAUCUCAUGUAAUUUAUUGAGUACUGUACUGAAAGUAAAAAACAGAAUGGUUGUAUGGGUACAGAAUGGUUGUGAGGGUAUCGGUUGUUCACCCUCACAAUCGUGCGGCUGGCUGGGAGCGGUGCCUCACUGCCACUGCCCAGCGUCAUGA